rnacentral:rRNA from 1 species
GGGGAGCAAACAGGAUUAGAUACNNNGGUAGUCCACGCCGUAAACGAUGAUUACUCGAUGUGUGCAAUAUAUCGUACGCGUCUAAGCAAAAGCAGUAAGUAAUCCACCUGGGGAGUACGUCGGCAACGAUGAAACUCAAAGGAAUUGACGGGGGCCCGCACAAGCGGAGGAACAUGUGGUUUAAUUCGAUGAUACGCGAGGAACCUUACCUGGAUUUGAACGUAGGUGGACUUUUUGUGAAAGCAGAAUUCCCUUCGGGGCCGCCUACGAGGUGCUGCAUGGUUGUCGUCAGCUCGUGCCGUGAGGUGUCGGAUUAAGUUCCAUAACGAGCGCAACCCUUAUCGUUAGUUGCCAUCGGGUAAUGCCGGGGACUCUAACGAAACUGCCGGUGUAAACCGUGAGGAAGGUGGGGAUGACGUCAAAUCAGCACGGCCCUUACAUCCAGGGCUACACACGUGUUACAAUGGCCAGUACAAAGGGCAGCUACUUCGCGAGAAGAUGCUAAUCUCUAAAACUGGUCUCAGUUCGGAUUGGAGCCUGAAACCCGACUCCAUGAAGCUGGAUUCGCUAGUAAUCGCGCAUCAGCCAUGGCGCGGUGAAUACGUUCCCGGGCCUUGUACACACCGCCCGUCAAGCCAUGGGAGCUGGGGGUACCUAAAGUUCGUAACCGCAAGGAGCGACCUAGGGUAAAACUGGUGACUGGGGCUAAGUCGUAACAAGGUAGCCGAAUGAAUNC